AUUGAACGCUGGCGGCAGGCCUAACACAUGCAAGUCGAACGAGUGGCGGACGGGUGAGUAAUGUCUGGGAAACUGCCUGAUGGAGGGGGAUAACUACUGGAAACGGUAGCUAAUACCGCAUACCCUCGGAUGUGCCCAGAUGGGAUUAGCUAGCAGGUGGGGUAACGGCUCACCUAGGCGACGAUCCCUAGCUGGUCUGAGAGGAUGACCAGCCACCCUGGAACUGAGACACGGUCCAGACUCCUCCGGGAGGAAGCAGUGGGGUAUAUUGCACAAUGGGCGCAAGCCUGAUGCAGACAGGCCGCGUGUAUGAAGAAGGCCUUCGAGUUGUAAAGUACUUUCAGCGAGGAGGCGUUACCCGCAGAAGAGGCACCGGCUAACUCCGUGCCAGCAGCCGCGGUAAUAC
rnacentral:rRNA from 1 species